AGCGAACGCUGGCGGCAGGCCUAACACAUGCAAGUCGAACGGAUCCUUCGGGAUUAGUGGCGGACGGGUGAGUAACACGUGGGAACGUGCCCUUUGGUUCGGAACAACGCAGGGAAACUUGAGCUAAUACCGGAUGUGCCCUUCGGGGGAAAGAUUUAUCGCCAUUGGAGCGGCCCGCGUCUGAUUAGCUAGUUGGUGAGGUAAAGGCUCACCAAGGCGACGAUCAGUAGCUGGUCUGAGAGGAUGAUCAGCCACAUUGGGACUGAGACACGGCCCAAACUCCUACGGGAGGCAGCAGUGGGGAAUCUUGCGCAAUGGGCGAAUGCCUGACGCAGCCAUGCCGCGUGAAUGAUGAAGGUCUUAGGAUUGUAAAAUUCUUUCACCGGGGACGAUAAUGACGGUACCCGGAGAAGAAGCCCCGGCUAACUUCGUGCCAGCCACCGCAGUAACAC
rnacentral:rRNA from 1 species